UUGUACAAGAUACCAUGUUCACAUGUCAUUGCAGUUUGUAUUAGGUAUCGACAUGAUGCAGAGCAAUACAUUGACCCAUGCUAUAGCGUGGAUGCACUGUUUCGGAGCUAUGCUCCCGUUUUCCCUGCGUUGAAAGAUAGAUUAUCAUGGCCGGAUCCUGAAGAAACUCGAAGGGUCCUCCCUAACCCCCGAUUGAUUCGAGAGAAAGGCCGCCCUGUCUCAACACGAAUCAGGAAUGAGAUGGACGAGGGUGGGAGACGGCGGAGAACCACACCGUGGAAGGAGGGGGGGAGGAAGGUGCAAUGCGGGUUGUGUGACCAAGAGGGGCAUAACCGAAGAACAUGCCCUAAGCGGAAUGAGGUACCGACAAGUGGUGGUGUCGCAGACUAGGAUGCUUCUUCACAUCGUCUGGAGGCUUGAGGAGUUAUGAACACCCCCUUAAUGAGGUGAAGCCUGUGCCAAGGGUGGAAAUUUCUGGUCAGGUGUGUGGUGUAACUUUCACCGUGGAUGAAGAGUCGAAGAGGGAAAAUGUCGGCAUGCCAAGAGUUGGAAGUGCUACCAACUGCUCAUCUAACUACUAAUAUUGUUAUAGUUUCCUUUUAUGGCAUGGCUAUCAUUAUUAGUGGGCCUUGCCUUUGAUCUCCUUUUUGUUAUCAUACUACUCUCAUCUUGAAAGGCUUGAAAUGCUUUUAUGGGUGCUUAGAUUUAUAUCCUUUUUAGUACUACCAAAGACAUGAUUUUAUGUUGCUGUACAUGUUGCGUAAUGUCAAACUAAGCCAGGAUCUCAAGUUUGAUACAAGAAAUAAUAUGAUUGCUCUUCAAGACUGAUCAAUGGUAGAUUUCUAUUUGAUAU